UUCUCUUCAAGAAAUAAAGGCAUCCGGUUUCAUAGCCAUAGAGGACAGAGGACAACGGGACUGCCGUCUAUGAUGGCUGCCCGAGCAUCAAGACACUCUGAACAGAAAAACGGAGGAUAUAAAGGCGUUGGGUUUCGUUUCAAUAGAGGACAGAGUAGCAGAAAACUGGAAUGUCCUCUAUGAUGGCCAUAGGGGCAACUGGUGCCUCGGGGGGUCAGCAAUCGGGGGCUCCCCCUGCAGCCGAUCCAGGGGGGUUCCCCUGCAGUCGAUUGCGCUAUGGGGGGUGGUCCCCGUAGCCACUCUUACCGCCCAGGAAGGGGAUGAUCACAGGCAGUCUUGCUGUGCAGGGAGGGGGCUCCCCCUGCAGCCGAUCCGGGGGGGUUCCCCUGCAGUUGAUUGCACUAUGGAGGGGGGGGGGGGUCCCCGUAGCCACUCUCACUGUCCAGGAAGGGGAUGAUCACAGCCAGUCUUGCUGUGCAGGGAGGGGGUUCCCCCGCGGCCGAUCAUGCCUACUUGGCGGGCUGGACCUGAUGAUCUUGUAAGGUCCCUUCCAGCUCCUAACAACAACUAUGAAAGGAACGAGUCCACGUGAGCUGUGAGCCAGGCUAGGUAGUAAUAAUGUAGGUGCCAUAACUAGCAGCCCUUUUGCUUUAUCUAGUCCAGUGGUUCCCAACCCCAGGUUGCGACCCGAAUGAGGCUCACGGGGCAAUGCUGGCAGUGCCACACAGAAAAGGGGAGCCGUACUGUGUGCCAGGAGCUCCCUUGCCCCUGGACCACUGCCACGCUCCGCUCCCACCAGUGGGGUGUGGAAAAAAAGGUUGGGAACCGCCGAUCUAGUCCAUGGGGCAGGUCCCUGGCUGGUGUCCGUGAGCAUAGUCGUCCCGGAGCUGUGCUGCCGGACGCCGCUGGAAGAGCUGGCCAUGAGGACUCUGGCAGAUGUUGCACUGUAAUCAUUUUGUGGCUGGUUUCAUUGUGUCUUAAAAUGAACUUGGGUCCAAAUGGCCCCCGGUGCAGUCGUUGCCAGCUGACGAGCCCUGGCAGGAUUGGGACCACACUGAAGCACAGACCUCAGUGCAGUCUCUGCUAGGUAACCAUCAGCUGAUUGUCAUCUGGCUCCAGGGGCUCCAGCUAGUCCUUUGGGUUCCCAGAACCAGCUGACAACUGAUCAUAAGGCACCUUUGCUGUUGCAGACCAAGCCCAGGAUCAUGGCAAGUAGGGUGCAACUGGAGUCUGAUAUCUGAUUCCCAAAAUCACAGGUCCUGCAGUACACAUGUGGCAUAACUGAUGGUGUAAUUUUUGGGCUCACGCAUCAGAUCCCGUCACUUCUAUAACAGAAUGUCUCUUAGCAGUUUGCAUUUCUUUCUUUUCCUUUCUUCUGACGGAUGCAUUACCACAGUGGCAAAACUCACCAUCCUGCUUUAAAUUCAGGACUCCUUCCAAACAGGGGCGGGCAAUGAUUUGGGGCAGAGGGCCGCUUACUGAGUUUUGGCAAGCCAUUGAGGGCUGCAAGACAGGCAGCCCAGGGCAGAUUAAUAUUAAUUUUCUAAAUUUUUUAGGGGCCCCCUCAGACCACAUCCAGCCCCCGGGCCACAUUUUGCUCCCCCCUGAAUUAGGGGCAAUGUGAAUUGAGAGUACCUUUCUUGAUUUUGAAAAUCUUUCUUUAGGCCUCCAAUGCUUACUCAGGCUACACGCUCCGUCCGACCCAUUAUAAGCCUCUCCUCAGUCACUAUUGGCAUUCAGAAAAAAGUCUUCCUAUUUAGAGAAUAUUUGUCUUCAAAUCUAAGGUCUUAUUUGAAUGAAGUUUGUUGUGAGAGAUCGCAGAAGGCAUGCAAUGAAAACUGGACUUAGAACAGAAAUGCAAAUGUUGGACUCUAACCCGGGAGGAAGCUGUUAUCAGGUUUCAGUAGUUGUAAAAUGAAUUGUGUUCAAGCAUGGCAAGGUGUUUGUGCUUUUAAACCUAUGCUCUUCCGGCUUGGGAAAAAAAUAGCUGCGAUGACACUAUCUUGAAUGCAACUAAAGUCGACAGGAACAGAGGAAGGCGUUUGGGACAUACCCUCCCCUAUUAAAAAAACACUGUUAUUUACUGUAUGACUGAUGGGAAAGUAAAUUGAUUACUAUAGGAAUCACCUGAUAAUUAAUAACCUGAGAUCCAGUCCAGCAGUUUCUAUCCAUACUGAGUGGUUCUUAGUCCAAUUGAACUUAAUAAGGCUAUUUGUGCAAAUAAGGAAUAAAGAAUCAGGAUGCUUGUUUCUGUCUCUCUUAAUAUCUUUUAUCUAGAUUCCAAACUAUUUUACAACUGGAGAAUCAAAUUCUGCCCAGAUACUCUAUUGAUCAUCAAGGUAGCUUAAACAAUUAAAAGACACCCUACUUAGCAUCUCUCCACGGUAAGAAAUCACAAGCCGCCAAUCUUUGAGAGCAAGACAUCCAAAGAAAGCUGUAGAGGAGAAGAGGCCAUGGGUUCCUUCCCUCAUACUGGUCAACAGAAUGAUAAAAAUAAGAGGAAUGAAGGUAGUGCUUUAACAAAAUAAACAACACCAUUUACAGAGUGGUCAAAAAGGAUCAAAACCUUUUUAAAGCAGCUUGAGUUGCAGGCAACAGCCUCAUUAACCUUCUUGCAAAACUGGUCAUGAGCUCCAGGGAUGAUCCCUGCUCCCAAGAACCUCAAGGAAAAAUGUUACAGUAAGUUAUAACAAAUGACAUGGCUUUAAGUUUGGAGGUAUGGGCCAGAAUGCUGCUAAGUGACCUUUGUGACUACCCCAGUCCCAAGUACUCUUGAUCUAAUGGGGGUGCACCCAACUGAAACAGCUUGCACAAUCAGAGAGAUAGUUAGCUGUAUUAGUCUGAAAUUUGGGCAGAAGGUAGAAGAGGCUACUGUUUGGAGAUAUGAGCCUUUGCAAACAACAACCUACUUCGUUGUUAGCAUCUGACAAAGUAAGUUAUUGCCUGUGAAAUCUUAGGCCUCUCUGUUAGUUUCUAAGGUGCCACCCUACCCUAUCUU